rnacentral:rRNA from 1 species
UACUGCCAUGCCACCCUGAACGUGCCGAUCUUGUCUGAUCUUGGAAGCUAAGCAGGGUCAGGCCUGGUUAGUACUUGGAUGGGAGACCACCUAUGAAUACCAGCUGCUAAGGUGU